AGACACACUGCUAGGUGCCUUGUACAUGGUGGUGAACAAGAAGGAAUAAUUGUGGAAGAUAAAGGAAAAACUAAGAGACUACCUAAAGACAUAAGCUUCCAGUCUGGGGAGUCAUGAAGGAAAAGCAAAGGAGGGGAAAAUUGCAUCUGAAGGCCACAGAAAGAGGAAUCCUGAGAAAGAAAGGAAACAAGCAAGAAGACAUUGUUUUCUGGGCAAACGAAAGUUAAAAUACAAUGUUGGAAAGCACGCAACAUCCUCUCAGGCACCUAGUGGAAAGAUUUGAAAAUAAUCUUUGGAACAGGACGUUUCCUUCAACUUCUUUGAAAUACGCAAUUAUAGACUAGGAAAGAGAAUGGCUGACAAAACUUGGUGGGAAAAGAGGGAACAGGUACGUCAAACUUCUUAUUCUCCCUAUUGAUCUGUUU